CUUUUUUGAAGUUUUCUUAUCAAAUACUCCAUUUUGUGUUUUGUUUUGAAUAAUAUCACCAGGCUUCAAAUUGCAAGCUAAUGGGCCAGUGUUCUGGGUUAAAGCCCAACAGAUACACAUGUUAUUUGCUAGGGUUACUCUGCAUAUAAAUAUCUACAACUUCCCUUCAUUACAACCUUGUUUCUCAGCAGCCAUUUUCAUCUAUUAGCUUUUUGACAUUUGAGGUGAAAAAGGAUACUGGUCUUGAUUCUUGAACACCAUGAGAGCGAAGUGGAAGAAGAAGCGUAUGAGGAGGCUUAAGAGGAAGCGCCGAAAGAUGAGACAGAGAUCCAAGUAGUUUUUACAUUUUUGUUUAUGUUUUCAAUCUAGACAUUCAGAAAUUUGUAGUACUUUAUCGGUUUCAUCUAGUUUAUGAUUUUCUGUUGAUCUUAUUUUAGAUGAAAACAAUGUCAUACAUUUGCGAAUCAAUGCUCUUCUAUUUGACAUUUAUGGUUUUUUUUCGUUAACUCUUUCUCCUUAAUGUUGUUGUGGUAAUUCUUGGGUUGAUUUGAAUUAUGUAUUCUACACGUUCCACGGUAAUAUUGAUAAUCUGAAUUUCU